AAUAUAUUAAGAAAUAGAAUUUUUAAUUUUACAAUUAAAUAAAAACCUAUUUUGAUAUUAACAACUCUGUAAACACAAUUUUAAAUUUUAUAAUUGAAUAGAAACAAUUUAAUCUAGCUAUUUCAAUUUUAGUAUUAAUUAUAUGGAUAAUGUUGACGUAAGAGUUUUGCGCCUUCCAUGUUUUGAGAAUCCGAUAGAUAUCGACCGGAUGCUCUAAAAAGCUGCCGUGCUUGUGUCAACACUCGCCGGCACCAAUGGAACGAAAGACGGCGACCAAAUUAGGCAAGUUUUUGUCGACAUGUUGAAGCUCGCCACGAAGGAAGGGACGUGAGGAGGCUA
rnacentral:lncRNA from 1 species